ACCUUAUCCUAUCCUAUCCUAUAUAUCUAUAUCUAGGAUAUAGAUAUCCUAUCUUUGACUCACACAGCUAAUGUGAGGCAAGAAGUCCUAUCUGGAUGACAGCAUCUGGAUUCCUUUUACCUUUGCCCUCCUGGUCCAGGAGUGCUAAGCUCCCUUCCAUUAUCUGCCCACUAUGUUACUGUUGAUGGUAUGGAAAAUAGCAGAUGGCAUAUUACAGAAGCCACCUAUGUCACAUUCUGCCUUGGGCAGCAUGUGACUUCCCUUUGCAAGGAGACUGCUGUUUCGAGCUGCAUGAUAGUUCCUCCCUCCCAAGCUUUAUCUUGUCCGGCCUGAGGCUGUGGCUCUCCUGUUCAGCACAGGCAGUUCAGAGGCAUGAUUUGAAACUUGCUAGGGAACUGGCUUUUGGAUUAUGGAAUAGCAAAGGAUUCAGCAGGUGCUAGUGAUCAGAUCAGGGAAAGCCUGAGGCAGGGAGCCAGCCUAGAGCCGGUAAAUGCAAGCAGUUGAGUCAGGGCAGUAACUGAUCUGGAAAAUGGCCAGUGGCAAGCAGGAAUCAAGUGAGCAUAGACAGCUAGUGCACCGGUGGGGAUUAUUUGACUGCCAGAUAUCAAGGUUUGAGUCAGGCUGAGGUGGCAGACAAGACAUGGCCAGAGCAGAGAGCCUUUCUGGGUUAGGAAUGGAAACAGCCUAGUUAGCUCAGUACCCUGGACAGCUCCUGGGUGCAGGUCUCCUGGCAGCUUCCUCUGCAGCUCCAUCCACCUCUGAUUGUUAAAGAGGCUUUAUGCCAGACUUCUUGUUUAUACAUGAUAAGGGCUUGUCUUCAGAGCAUUAGUCUCGAGAGUUCCAUCCUAGAAGAAAGAGGGCACAUCUUCUGGCCUGACAGGUUUACUCUUCACCCUUCUCCACCCUCAUCUUUGCCUCAGAAGACUUUCCGUAUGGCAUCAACAACACUGUGUCCUCUGGCUUCUGGUUGGGGAAACCUGGGGGAAGAUCCAAGAGAAGGAGGAGAACAAGGUCUGGGCAUUUUGUUUCCUUUUCCCUCUGUGACGAGUCACCUCAGACAUUUUGUGUUCCUGAAAGAAAGCAACCCAGAUUCAAUGGGGAAAAGGACUCCCUAUUCAGCAAACGGUGCUGGGAUAACUGGCUAGCUAUAUGCAGAAGAUUGAAACUGGACUCCUUCCUUACACUAUAUACAAAAAUUAACUCAAGAUGAAUUAAAGACUUAAAUGUUAAACCCCAAAACUAUAAAAAACUCCAGAAGAAAAUCUAGGCAAUACCAUUCAGGACAUAGGCAUGAGCAAAGAUUUCAUGACAGAGAUGCCAAAAGCAAUUGCAACAGAAGCAAAAAUUGAGAAAUGGGAUCUCAUUAAACUAAAGGGCCUCUGCACAGCAAAGAAAACUAUCAAACUAUCAACAGAGUAAACAGACAACUUAAAGAAUGGAAGAAAAUUUUUGCAAACUAUGCAUAUGACAAAGUCCUAAUAUCCAGAAUCUAUAAGCAACUUAAACAAAUUUACAAGAAAAAAGAAACAAUCCCAUUAAAAAUUGGGCAAAGGACGUGAACAGACACUUUUCAAAAGAAGACAUAUAUGUACACAACAAGGCAUGUGAAAAGAAUGCUCAACAUCACUGAUCGUUAGGUAAAUGUAAAUCAAAACCACAAUGAGAUACCAUCUCACACCAGUCAGAAUUGCUAUUAUUAAAAAGUGAAAAUAUAAGAUGCUGGUGAGGUUGCAGAGAAAAAGAAAUGCUUAUACACA
ensembl:lncRNA